CCUGGCUCACGUUGAACGCUAGCUACAGGCUUAACACAUGCAAGUCGAGGGGCAGCAUGGUCUUAGCUUGCUAAGGCCGAUGGCGACCGGCGCACGGGUGAGUAACACGUAUCCAACCUGCCGUCUACUCUUGGACAGCCUUCUGAAAGGAAGAUUAAUACAAGAUGGCAUCAUGAGUCCGCAUGUUCACAUGAUUAAAGGUAUUCCGGUAGACGAUGGGGAUGCGUUCCAUUAGAUAGUAGGCGGGGUAACGGCCCACCUAGUCUUCGAUGGAUAGGGGUUCUGAGAGGAAGGUCCCCCACAUUGGAACUGGGACACGGUCCAAACUCCUACGGGAGGCAGCAGUGAGGAAUAUUGGUCAAUGGGCGAGAGCCUGAACCAGCCAAGUAGCGUGAAGGAUGACUGCCCUAUGGGUUGUAAACUUCUUUUAUAAAGGAAUAAAGUCGGGUAUGGAUACCCGUUUGCAUGUACUUUAUGAAUAAGGAUCGGCUAACUCCGUGCCAGCAGCCGCGGUAAUACGGAGGAUCCGAGCGUUAUCCGGAUUUAUUGNGUUUAAAGGGAGCGUAGAUGGAUGUUUAAGUCAGUUGUGAAAGUUUGCGGCUNCACCGGUAAAUUGCAGUUGAUACUGGAUAUCUUGAGUGCAGUUGAGGCAGGCGGAAUUCGUGGUGUAGCGGUGAAAUGCUUAGAUAUCACGAAGAACUCCGAUUGCGAAGGCAGCCUGCUAAGCUGCAACUGACAUUGAGGCUCGAAAGUGUGGGUAUCAAACAGGAUUAGAUACCCUGGUAGUCCACACGGUAAACGAUGAAUACUCGCUGUUUGCGAUAUACAGCAAGCGGCCAAGCGAAAGCGUUAAGUAUUCCACCUGGGGAGUACGCCGGCAACGGUGAAACUCAAAGGAAUUGACGGGGGCCCGCACAAGCGGAGGAACAUGUGGUUUAAUUCGAUGAUACGCGAGGAACCUUACCCGGGCUUAAAUUGCAGAUGAAUUACGGUGAAAGCCGUAAGCCGCAAGGCAUCUGUGAAGGUGCUGCAUGGUUGUCGUCAGCUCGUGCCGUGAGGUGUCGGCUUAAGUGCCAUAACGAGCGCAACCCUUGUUGUCAGUUACUAACAGGUUCCGCUGAGGACUCUGACAAGACUGCCAUCGUAAGAUGUGAGGAAGGUGGGGAUGACGUCAAAUCAGCACGGCCCUUACGUCCGGGGCUACACACGUGUUACAAUGGGGGGUACAGAGGGCCGCUACCACGCGAGUGGAUGCCAAUCCCCAAAACCUCUCUCAGUUCGGACUGGAGUCUGCAACCCGACUCCACGAAGCUGGAUUCGCUAGUAAUCGCGCAUCAGCCACGGCGCGGUGAAUACGUUCCCGGGCCUUGUACACAC
rnacentral:rRNA from 1 species